UCAACAGCGACAACAGACUACUGAUUCAACCCCGCGGAAGCGAAUGUGAAGUGUGAAGUGAAUUUAAACCCAAAACAUUGAAGAUCUUUAGACCAAUCUUGUGUAUAUUACUCCUAGUGUUUUGAACACAAUUCUGCUUACUUAUCUACUAGUUCAUUUAAACGUAAUUUGCUUGUUAAAUUAGCAAAUGUGUUAAAUAUAUAAUGUACUAGGCUAAUCGCCCGGACCUUGAGGCCACUCAGCUAGACAGACAGAAGCUCUGGUGAAAGGAGAGGAAGAAGCUUUCAGAAUGGAAGAGGAGGCUAUCACAUUGAAAGAAGAAGAGGAUGAUAAUACAGUGAAAGAGGAAGAUGGGUAAGAGGUUGUCAAAGUGGAAGAGGAAGAGGUAGAUGCUUUCAGAAUCAAAAAGGAGGAAGAUGCCGUAAUAUUGAAAGAAGUGGAAGAACCUUUUGGAGUAAAAGAGGAAGAGGAGGCUAUCUCAAUUAAAGAGGAGGAAGACGUUUUGGGAGUGAAAAAGGAGGAGAAGACUGAUGAUCCGAUUAACACCAGAGAGAGACAUGACUAUUGUGGAUCCUCUGGGGAGCCUCAACAACAUCCUGAUGCUGACGAGUCAGAGAAGAGUCUCUCCAGAUUAGAACACCAGAUGGACAACGCUAGCCCUUCCUCCCUCCCGGAGUCCCCAUGUCGUGCCUCUCCCGUCAGCGCCUUACUGCUGGGUAUGAAGAGGUUGUCUGUGCAGCUGGUGGACUGCAGGAAAACAACGGGGCUGAGUGGAACUGUGAGAGGAAGAGAAGAGAAGAAAGGAUCAGAUUUGACUC